rnacentral:rRNA from 1 species
GGGGAAUAUUGGACAAUGGGCGCAAGCCUGAUCCAGCAAUGCCGCGUGUGUGAAGAGGGCCUGCGGGUUGUAAAGCACUUUCAGUGGGGAGGAAGGCCUCGGCGUUAAUAUCGUCGAGGAUUGACGUUACCUACAGAAGAAGCACCGGCUAACUCUGUGCCAGCAGCCGCGGUAAUACAGAGGGUGCAAGCGUUAAUCGGAAUUACUGGGCGUAAAGGGCGCGUAGGUGGUUAAUUAAGUCAGAUGUGAAAUCCCCGGGCUUAACCUGGGAAUUGCAUUUGAAACUGAUUGGCUAGAGUACGGGAGAGGGAAGUGGAAUUUCCGGUGUAGCGGUGAAAUGCGUAGAUAUCGGAAGGAACACCAGUGGCGAAGGCGACUUCCUGGCCCGUUACUGACACUGAGGCGCGAAAGCGUGGGGAGCGAACA